rnacentral:piRNA from 8 species
GUCGGGGUUUCGUACGUAGCAGAGC